AAACCUAUUGUGUACGGGUUGUUAAACCAUUGGCACUGCCCGGUAGCUACGUUUGGAAAAGAUAACCGCUGAAGGCAUAUAAGCAGGAAGCUUGUCCUAAGAUGAGAUAUCCCAGGGUUCUAUCCUAAAGGGUUGUUCUAGACUAGGACGUUGAUAGGUUGGGUGUGCAAGCAUAGUAAUAUGUUUAGCUAACCAAUACUAAUGAUCCGUGAGGCUUAAACCUAUAUCU
rnacentral:rRNA from 1 species